CCCUUCUUUGAUCAAAAUCCUUCAGUGGCCUCCUGUCUCAUUUGAAGUCAAAGCCAAAGUACUUACCUUGACUUACUGGGCCCUACUUGAUAAGACCACACCCCCACCUGCACUCCUCUGACCUCAUUUCCUACUAGUCUUCAUCUCCUUCACUCUACUCCAGCUUCCAGUGGUCUCUUCGUUGUUCCUGGAACGUGUCAGAAUGCUAUCUUCCAAAAGCACUUAUAAGAAGAGAAAAUGUUUGUGUUAGAGACAUCCUUUCAACCCCGCUGUAUCUUGGAAUGAGACUUGAAUAAAAAACACCUGUGCUUCCAAGCAGCUUGAAUUUCCUUAACAGCAAUGUGAGAGACAAUGUGAGAUACUUUUCAAAUUCCCCUUGGAUGAAGGAUUUGUUGCCCAGCUGCUGAGAGAGUGGUCAACCAUCAUCUGACAGGCCCUUCUAUGAUGGCCUCAACUGCAGAAACCCACAUUCUCUAAGGUUGAGUCUCUUCUCAGGGCAGCCUGCAUCCAACAACUGAUCAAAAUGGGAAUAUAAAGGCUUGACCCUCUUGCCCCAACUCCAGAUAACUCUACAAAGCUAGUCAAGGCCCAGAGUUCUUCAUGGGGUCAGUCCAGGAUGGCAUUUGGCCUUCUGGCAGCUUGACUCUUCCUGCUACCCAGUCCUGCUCUCUUCCCCUGCCUUCACAAAUGUUGACCCCAAGGGCACUCCUUAAUAAACACUCUGCAAGCUAAACUCCCUUUCAGAGUCUACAUCCUGGGGAGCCAGCUGGGGACAGUUAGUACCAUUAGUGAUUCAAGAAAGCAAGCAUUCAGAUGGAGUUUGGAACUGAAACACUCACCUCCUGGCUGACAGAAAAGUGGCAUAAGGGAACUUUCUGAGGUGAUGUA